rnacentral:rRNA from 1 species
GACAGAGGGGGCAAGCGUUGCUCGGAAUUACUGGGCGUAAAGGGCGCGUAGGCGGGAUGGCAAGUCGGUCGUGAAAUACCUCGGCUCAACUGAGGAGCGUCGAUCGAAACUGCCGUUCUUGAGGGUUGCAGAGGAGGCUGGAAUUCCCGGUGUAGCGGUGAAAUGUGUAGAGAUCGGGAGGAACACCGGUGGCGAAGGCGGGUCUCUGGGCAAUUCCUGACGCUGAGGCGCGAAAGCGUGGGGAGCAAACGGG